GACGAACGCUGGCGGCGUGCCUAAUACAUGCAAGUUGAGCGCUGAAGGUUGGUACUUGUACCAACUGGAUGAGCAGCGAACGGGUGAGUAACGCGUGGGGAAUCUGCCUUUGAGCGGGGGACAACAUUUGGAAACGAAUGCUAAUACCGCAUAAAAACUUUAAACACAAGUUUUAAGUUUGAAAGAUGCAAUUGCAUCACUCAAAGAUGAUCCCGCGUUGUAUUAGCUAGUUGGUGAGGUAAAGGCUCACCAAGGCGAUGAUACAUAGCCGACCUGAGAGGGGGAUCGGCCACAGUGGGACUGAGACACGGCCCAAACGCCUACGGGAGGCAGCAGUAGGGAAUCUUCGGCAAUGGACGAAAGGCUGACCGAGCAACGCCGCGGGAGGGAAGAAGGGUUUCGGAUCGUAAAACUCUGUUGGUAGAGAAGAACGUUGGUGAGAGUGGAAAGCUCAUCAAGUGACGGUAACUACCCAGAAAGGGACGGCUAACUACGUG
rnacentral:rRNA from 1 species